GGGCAUUCGCUGUGUGACUCAGGGCAAGUGUGCGCACCUCUCUGAGCCUCCGCGGCCUUCUCUAGCAAAAUGGUGGAGCCGGUACCCGGCUGUAAGGCAAGCUGGGAUGCGCGGAGUAGCGGGUGGAAAGCUGGACUGGAGUUCUCACUCGGCCGCUGGGUGACUUCGGUGCACUAGGGAUAGUAACAGUACCACCUCGUAGGGUUGUAGAAAGACCAAGUGAGUUAAUAUUUGUAAAGUGUUUAGAACAGCGUCUACUGCAUGGAAAGUAGUAUUUAUUUGUUAGAGAGACUCCAGGAGGUCUUGCCCAGGGAUUGACUUCUCCCUUCCCUGUCUCCACCCCCCACAUUCCCGUUUGUGAGCCAAGCCUUGCUUUUGCACCGGCCGGGCUCUCUUGCCUGGAAAUGCAUACCCAUCUCAAACCUGGGCUUUAAAAUCACCUCCUCUGGGACGCCUUCCUCUACUUCUCACAGUUCAGGCCUGUUCUGCCCCACACAGCAGAAAAUGCCCACGAUGCAAUACCAGAGUCUGCAUGGGACCAUUUCAACAACCCUUAGAAGCUGACUCAGCUGUCUCCUGGCCCUGACUUUUCUAAGAUGAGAGGAGCUGGUAGGAACAAUUUGGCUCAUGCCUAAGGAAUCUACAGUGUUUAAAGCUCCCCAGGGCCAGGCGUGGUGGUUCACACCUGUAAUCCCAGCACUUUGGGAGGCUGAGGCAGGCGGAUCACCUGGGGUCAGGAGUUCAAGACCAGCCUGGCUGACAUGGUGAAACCCCAUCUCUACUAAUAAUACAAAAAAAAAAGCUGGGCAUGGUGGCAUGCACCUGUAGUCCCAGCUACUAGGGAGGCUGAGGCACAAGAAUGGCUUGAACCUGGGAGGCGAAGGUUGCAGUGAACCAAGAUCGCGCCACUGUACUCCAGCCUGGGCAACAGAGCAAGACAGAGACUCCAUCUCAAAAUAAAUAAAUAGAAGGCUCUCCAGGACAUUUUGAUGCCCACUGGGAUAUGGGAACUCCUGCCAUGGGGAGGAGGGCGUCUUUAAGAAGGAAUAGGCCCUAUUGAGAUGCCAGCUGUAGACCUCUAGGAGUUGACCAUCGAGCCUGAGAAGGUAAGGAGAGGGUGUAGGAGACCCCUGACUCUGACCUCCACCCUCUCAUUCCUCUCCAGGGCAGUCCCGCACUCUGAUGGCCACAUCUGGUGCCAGGUAGUUUCUCGUAAAGAUCUACACUCACAUUACAACCUAGACAUCCCACUAGUAGGUAUUUACCCAAGACACCUGAAAGCAUGUGUGUACCCAAAGACUCGUAAAUGAAUGCAACUCUAUAUGUAAUAGCCAAAAUUAGAAACAAUCCAAAUGUUCAUCAGCAGGUGAGUGGUAAAACAAGUUGUGAUAUGUUCAUACAAUGUUGCUACUCAGUAAUAAAAAGAAAUGAGCUACAGAUACAGAUAAGGAAACUUGGAGGUGAUAUGUUCAUAAUCUUGUUUGGGUCAAAGGUUUCAGGGAUGUAUACAUGUGUCAAAACAUAUCAAACCGUAU
ensembl:lncRNA SLC2A1-DT SLC2A1 divergent transcript